UACGGAGGGUGCAAGCGUUAUCCGGAUCCACUGGGUUUAAAGGGUGCGUAGGCGGGUAGGUAAGUCAGUGGUGAAAUCUCAGAGCUUAACUCUGAAACUGCCAUUGAUACUAUCUAUCUUGAAUGUUCUGGAGGUGAGCGGAAUAUGUCAUGUAGCGGUGAAAUGCUUAGAUAUGACAUAGAACACCAAUUGCGUAGGCAGCUCACUACGGAAAUAUUGACGCUGAGGCACGAAAGCGUGAGGAUCAAACAGG
rnacentral:rRNA from 1 species